rnacentral:sRNA from 14 species
AGGGAGGAGGAGGAGGAGGAGGAGUGAGAAACAUUUAAGAGGACAGACCAGAAACAGAGCGUGGUUGCCGUGGUAACCGCCCCCCUCUCUCUCCCUUCCUCUUUCUCUCUCUACCUCUCUCUCUGUCUCUCUUCCCUCCCUCCACCUCUGUGCCGGGGAUGCUCGUGUCUCUUUCCUCUCCACCCGGUUUGUCCUCACCU